AGAGUUUGAUCAUGGCUCAGGAUGAACGCUAGCGGCAGGCUUAACACAUGCAAGUCGAGGGGUAUAGGUUUUCGGACCUAGAGACCGGCGCACGGGUGCGUAACGCGUAUGCAAUCUACCUUUUACAGAGGGAUAGCCCAGAGAAAUUUGGAUUAAUACCUCAUAGUAUUAUUGAAUGGCAUCAUUUAAUAAUUAAAGUCACAACGGUAAAAGAUGAGCAUGCGUCCCAUUAGCUUGUUGGUAAGGUAACGGCUUACCAAGGCAACGAUGGGUAGGGGUCCUGAGAGGGAGAUCCCCCACACUGGUACUGAGACACGGACCAGACUCCUACGGGAGGCAGCAGUGAGGAAUAUUGGUCAAUGGGCGCAAGCCUGAACCAGCCAUGUCGCGUGCAGGAUGACGGUCCUAUGGAUUGUAAACUGCUUUUGUACAGGAAGAAACAUCUCUACGUGUAGAGACUUGACGGUACUGUAAGAAUAAGGAUCGGCUAACUCCGUGCCAGCAGCCGCGGUAAUACGGAGGAUCCAAGCGUUAUCCGGAAUCAUUGGGUUUAAAGGGUCCGUAGGCGGUUUUGUAAGUCAGUGGUGAAAGCCCAUCGCUCAACGGUGGAACGGCCAUUGAUACUGCAAGACUUGAAUUAUUAGGAAGUAACUAGAAUAUGUAGUGUAGCGGUGAAAUGCUUAGAGAUUACAUGGAAUACCAAUUGCGAAGGCAGGUUACUACUAAUGGAUUGACGCUGAUGGACGAAAGCGUGGGGAGCGAACAGGAUUAGAUACCCUAGUAGUCC
rnacentral:rRNA from 1 species